rnacentral:rRNA from 1 species
CCUACGGGAGGCAGCAGUGAGGAAUAUUGGUCAAUGGACGGAAGUCUGAACCAGCCAAGUAGCGUGCAGGAUGACGGCCCUCUGGGUUGUAAACUGCUUUUAGUUGGGAAUAAAAAAGAGGACGUGUCCUCUAUUGUAUGUACCUUCAGAAAAAGGACCGGCUAAUUCCGUGCCAGCAGCCGCGGUAAUACGGAAGGUCCAGGCGUUAUCCGGAUUUAUUGGGUUUAAAGGGAGCGUAGGCGGAUUAUUAAGUCAGUGGUGAAAGACGGUGGCUCAACCAUCGUUAGCCAUUGAAACUGGUAGUCUUGAGUGCAGACAGGGAUGCUGGAACUCGUGGUGUAGCGGUGAAAUGCUUAGAUAUCACGAUGAACUCCGAUCGCGAAGGCAGGUGUCCGGGCUGCAACUGACGCUGAGGCUCGAAAGUGUGGGUAUCAAACAGGAUUAGAUACCCCGGUAGUCC